CGGUAAUACGUAGGUGGCAAGCGUUGUCCGGAAUUAUUGGGCGUAAAGCGCGCGCAGGCGGUCCUUUAAGUCUGAUGUGAAAUCACGUGGCUCAACCACGUGCGGUCAUUGGAAACUGGAGGACUUGAGUGCAGAAGAGGAAAGUGGAAUUCCAAGUGUAGCGGUGAAAUGCGUAGAGAUUUGGAGGAACACCAGUGGCGAAGGCGACUUUCUGGUCUGUAACUGACGCUGANGCGCGAAAGCGUGGGGAGCAAACAGGAUNAGAUACCCUGGUAGUCCCGCCGUAAACGAUGANUGCUAAGUGUUAGGGGGUUUCCGCCCCUUAGUGCUGCAGCAAACGCAUUAAGCACUCCNCNUGGGGAGUACGGUCNCAAGACUGAACUCAANGAAUUGACGGGGCCCNCACAACGGUGGACCUGUGNUUAAUNCG
rnacentral:rRNA from 1 species